GAUCAUGGCUCAGAUUGAACGCUGGCGGCAGGCCUAACACAUGCAAGUCGAGCGGUAGAGAGAAGCUUGCUUCUCUUGAGAGCGGCGGACGGGUGAGUAAUACCUAGGAAUCUGCCUGAUAGUGGGGGAUAACGUUCGGAAACGGACGCUAAUACCGCAUACGUCCUACGGGAGAAAGCAGGGGACCUUCGGGCCUUGCGCUAUCAGAUGAGCCUAGGUCGGAUUAGCUAGUUGGUGAGGUAAUGGUUCACCAAGGCUACGAUCCGUAACUGGUCUGAGAGGAUGAUCAGUCACACUGGAACUGAGACACGGUCCAGACUCCUACGGGAGGCAGCAGUGGGGAAUAUUGGACAAUGGGCGAAAGCCUGAUCCAGCCAUGCCGCGUGUGUGAAGAAGGUCUUCGGAUUGUAAAGCACUUUAAGUUGGGAGGAAGGGCAUUAACCUAAUACGUUGGUGUCUUGACGUUACCGACAGAAUAAGCACCGGCUAACUCUGUG
rnacentral:rRNA from 1 species